CCUACGGGAGGCAGCAGUGAGGAAUAUUGGUCAAUGGGCGUAAGCCUGAACCAGCCAAGUCGCGUGAGGGAUGAAGGUUCUAUGGAUCGUAAACCUCUUUUAUAAGGGAAUAAAGUGCGGGACGUGUCCCGUUUUGUAUGUACCUUAUGAAUAAGGAUCGGCUAAAUCCGUGCCAGCAGCUGUGGUAAGACGGAGGAUCCGAGCGUUAUCCGGAUUUAUUGUGUUUAAAGGGUGCGUAGGCGGCUUUCUAAGUCAGCGGUGAAAGUUUGUGGCUCAACCAUAGAAUUGCCGUUGAAACUGGGAGGCUUGAGUAUGUUUGAGGCAGGCGGAAUGCGUGGUGGAGCGGUGAAAUGCUUAG
rnacentral:rRNA from 1 species